GUCCAAGCGUUAUCCGGAUUUAUUGGGUUUAAAGGGUACGUAGGCGGAAGAUUAAGUCAGUAGUGAAAGCCUCCCGCUCAACGGGAGAAUUGCUAUUGAUACUGCAGGACUUGAAUUACUGUGAAGUAACUAGAAUAUGUAGUGUAGCGGUGAAAUGCUUAGAUAUUACAUGGAAUACCAAUUGCGAAGGCAGGUUACUAACAUUAUAUUGACGCUGAUGGACGAAAGCGUGGGUAGCGAACAG
rnacentral:rRNA from 1 species